rnacentral:tRNA from 1 species
GGAGGCGUCGCCUAGUCCGGUUUAUGGCGCCCGCCUGCUAAGCGGGUUGAGGGCACAAUCCCUCUCGCGGGUUCAAAUCCCGCCGCCUCCGCCA